AAGCCAUGAGUGGGACAAUUUAUAAUCAUGAAUUUCAUUCUCUCCCAUGAUUGUGCCACGUGUUCUUGAUCAUGUUGUUUAAAAUUAAUAAUUUGAUUUCUGAGACA
rfam:Hordeum vulgare subsp. vulgare, WGS project CAJW01000000 data, contig: morex_contig_86808